rnacentral:rRNA from 1 species
UAGGGAAUCUUCGGCAAUGGACGAAAGUCUGACCGAGCAACGCCGCGUGAGUGAAGAAGGUUUUCGGAUCGUAAAACUCUGUUGUUAGAGAAGAACAAGGACGUUAGUAACUGAACGUCCCCUGACGGUAUCUAACCAGAAAGCCACGGCUAACUACGUGCCAGCAGCCGCGGUAAUACGUAGGUGGCAAGCGUUGUCCGGAUUUAUUGGGCGUAAAGCGAGCGCAGGCGGUUUCUUAAGUCUGAUGUGAAAGCCCCCGGCUCAACCGGGGAGGGUCAUUGGAAACUGGGAGACUUGAGUGCAGAAGAGGAGAGUGGAAUUCCAUGUGUAGCGGUGAAAUGCGUAGAUAUAUGGAGGAACACCAGUGGCGAGGGCGGCUCUCUGGUCUGUAACGGACGCUGAGGCUCGAAAGCGUGGGGAGCAAACAGG